CCCCUCAGGGGUGUGUUCUCUCCCCACUUCUAUUCUCCCUCUACACCAAUGACUGCACCUCAGGGGACCCCUCUGUGAAACUCCUGAAGUUUUCAGACGACACCACCGUCAUCGGUCUCAUCAGGGAUGGGGACGAGUCUGCCUUCAGACGGGAGGUGGAACAGCUGGCUCUUUGGUGCAGUCAGAACCAUCUAGGAACUGAACCCGCUCAAGACUGUGGAGAUGACAGUGGACUUCAGGAGAAAUCCCCCCCACUCACCCCCCUUACCAUUCUGAAUAGCAAAGUGGCUACCGUGGACUCCUUCAGGUUCCUGGGAUCCACAAUCUCACAGGACCUGAAGUGGACCUCCCACAUAGACACAACCAGGAAAAAGGCACAGCAGAGGAUGUACUUCCUGCGUCAGCUGAGGAAGUUCAACCUGCCCCAGGAGCUGCUGAUCAUGUUCUACACCUCCAUCAUUCAGUCUGUUCUGUGCACCUCCAUCACUGUCUGGUUUGGAUCAAUCAGGACUGCAGAAAAGAUCAUUGGUGUUGAUCUGCCUUACAUCCAAGACUUAUACCUGUCCAGGGUCAGGAAACGGGCAGGUAGCAUCACUGCAGACCCCUCACACCCUGCACACAAUCUGUUUAAACUCCUCUCCUCCGGCAGACGCUACAGAUCACUGUACGCAAAAACUACACGCCAUAAAAACAGUUUCUUCCCUCAGGCUGUCACUGUGAUCAACACUAAACAGUCAUAGAGUGUCAGACCUGUUUCUGUUACUGUGAAAUAACCUGGAACUAAACAUAACAACCCUGGAUCAACCUGUCACUGAGAAUGUUCAUGGACAUAAUAUUUUCAUUUAAAUGUUCACCUGCACUACUCAUCAAUGCACUACUGCACUAUUAUCUUAUUAUUAUUAUUGUAUUUUUAUUUCAUUUCAUUAUUAUUAUUAUUAUUAUUAUUAUUAUUAUUAUUAUUAUUAUUAUUAUUAUUAUUAUUAUCUUGUUAUUUUAUUUAG
rnacentral:lncRNA from 1 species